GAUAACUUGGCAGCGGCAGGGGGAAGCGGCCGGGUUAUGUAUUUUAUUUCAUUUUUUUCCCCCUGGGCUCGGUACCGGGUUGAUGCUGGGCGCCGGGCGAGCCGCGCUGGUCACCGCCGGGUCCCACCUGGAGGAGGGAAGCACACGCAAAAAGGAGGAAAAAAAAAAAAAAAAAACCGAAAGAAAAGAAAGAAAAAAAAAAUCACGGAAAACAGGCGGGGAGGGGGGAUGGGAGAGGGUGCCACCCGGAUGCGGCGGAUGGGACAGCGCGCCACGCGCAGAGCAGGGCCCCGCUAUAUCCCUGCAGGGAAUGGGACUGGGGGAAAAAGCACGCCGUAUCGCAAGGGAACGUGGGGGACAUGGGGAACGCAGGCCCAUACAGGCUGCCCGUGGGCCACCAGGCUGUUGUGUGGAGGCUGGCAGGUGCUGGGCCGGGCUGGGUUGUGGGUGACCAGCAUGUGGUGACAAGGGCUGCAGCUGCCAGGUCAACCUGUGUGACUGGGUGUUGUUGUGAGCAGGGGUAGGAGUUGGUACUGGGGUUGGCUUGCUUUCCUUGGCAUUUGUGCUCCUAAAAGGAAGACCAUAGAAUCGUUGAGAUUGGAAAAGGCCAUUAAGGUCAUCUAGACCAACCACCAACCCAUCACCAUCAUGCCCGCUAACCCAUGUCCCUCAGUGUAAGUACACAUGGGGGCAGGGACCUUUUAGUUGCGUGCAUUCCUUCCUGAACAGAGUUAUUUCCAGUGCUAGGCCUCACUUUCAGGUAUCCAUAGUGGCACAGACCACUGUGCCCUUUCAGCCAAAGAUUGCACACAUACACUUUUAAUAUCUCAAACUGCCAACUCACUGCAGCACCUGCACACUGACCAAAGCUCUCAGUAAGGCCCAAAGUCAAGUGCCCCAUCCCACACUGCAUUUUCUACUGCCUGUUCUGACAACAGCUCACCGUGUACGUGUAGCUAGUGCAACAGUUCACAGAGAAGCUGAAAAGCUGAAGCAGCACAGGGCUGAAACUAAAUUAUUGUUGCAGCUUCUAUAUUAGCAUUAACGCUUUCAUUUUCCUCAUUUAAAUACAAUAAAAGAGAACAUGGUCUUUGCUUAAUAUUGUUACUAAUCAGGUUUUGCUCUUCCAGUUUUUUAAGAAGAUGAAGCCAGGGAGAAUCUAGCAUGCUGCUGUGCUGCUGCUGUAUUAGUACUCUGGAACAGUGCCUUAUUUUGGUGAAGUCUUUGCUCUUUAACUGGGAGGAAAAAAUAAAUUCUCAGAAUACAGCGAAGUCCAAGCACUGCUUUAAGGAGAAUGAAAUUGAAAAAGUACUUAUUUUUAACACAAGCUACUCGAGGUGCUUUCUGUCUUGUCUAUAAAGACAAAUUUGUAUAGUGUUUCUGUUUCAGAAUUGUUUUGAGCGGCAUUUAGACGUAGAAGUUUUUAUUUGUCUUAAGUAUACUGUUUCAACAGUGCACUGGAGAGCACAGGGUACAUUACUGAUACACUGGUUUUGGUAGUCUUAAAAAGCACUUUGUGCAGCUUGAUUGUUGUCUGUAUUUUGCCAUUUAUUUUUCAGUGAGGCUCUUCUGAUUGAUGUGGGAAGUUUCUUUAAAGAGAUGUAAGUUAUGGCAUAGCUACCCAAGAUGCUCUGCGCAGUUGUUCCAUACCUCUUCCUAAGAGAGAGAUUUUAGUUGUGAUUGUUGUGCUUUUAAAAGGGAAUUAGUUAAUCAAAUUGCUGGUUUUGGAAUGCAUUGAAAGGAAUAUUGAAAUGCAUUAACUUCAUUAAAAGAAGUGAGCAGAUAGGUAACAAAACAAGUAUUAGUCAAAUAAGCAUGAACUUGCCUAUGGAGCCAAUUCAGCCCUAGUGAAAUCAACACAGUUGUGCUUGUCUACAGCAUAUUUAAUUUGGCCUAUGCAGCCACAGAGCCAACACUUCAUUUGGCUGUCAAAGGUGUGUAUAUUAAAAACAUAUGAGCCAUGCGUCUCCUUCAUGUGAUUAACCUCUGAAGUCAGUCGCCCAGUUUUCCACUUAGUUCAGCUGCACAGUCCUAUCACAUAUGUAGUAUUUGGUGCACGUAUGCACUGGAGGUGCAGGGAAACAUUCCCAUCCCAGCAUUAGCACGGGGAUGUGAGCUGUGUCUGAAGCGAGGGCAUGACGAGAUGUGUUGCAGCAGAGGUUGCUCACAACCAUAAGGGUUCCUGUGUGUAAGUCCCAGUUAAUGGGCUGCACUGAGGUCUUUGCCACCAUCUUUCAUUACUGCUGUUACUCACACCAGCGAGAGUAAAGGAAAGGCUGGUAUGUCUAUAAUCACACAUUCAUUUGCUAUGUAGAUAUAUCUUAAGAGCCACUCAACCCGGGAAAAUUGUGCUGGAAUGAGGUAGUGGAUGGAUGUAAAACAGAACCAUGUGCAGGUGGCUCGUUCAUUCUGGAAUGACAGAGCUUCUUCCUGGUUUCACUUAAUCCACUUCUAAAGUGGAUUAGGCGAAUUCAAAAACGUGAACUCUUAUGCUGGCAUGAUAUUUGACUACAUAUGGUUUUGGUUAAGGGUAAUUACUGCAGUGUAGCUAAUAACUGUUUUGGAAUAAUUUUGUGUGUAGACAAGUCCAAAAUCGCACACCUGAAAACAACACACUGUACAUAGCCUUUCUGUAUAACAUAAAGUUAAUUUAGCCCAACAUUUGACCUACUUCUUUCCUUGUGAGGCAUAUUUAAUUCAUUACAAGUUUUCUUUCUUAGCAGAAACUGUACAACAGCCAUGUGCUUAUGAUCAAUUCAAGGACAGUGCUUCCAUGUGCACUCCACAAGAUAAAUAAACAAUUUACACAACAUAUAGUCUGAGUACAUUCUCAGCUGUUUGAAGCAGACAGUUGGCCCUCUACUGCAGAAAAUAUCAAGUUCUAAAUUGUAAAUAUUUUGAGUAGGCUGUUAACAAAAGGAAAACAAAAGCCAAAGGUCUAUGUCCUCUUGAACCCCCAUGAUCUGCUUAUCCUUUGACUACAUAGUGCUCAAAGCAGUAGUGUCUGCAUGAAGCACCCGUUAUAAUUCAAUACCUCUAGCUCCUGCAUGAGGAACCUCUCAGGUUAGCACAAGAUGGCUUGCAAAACAAUGGGCUUUCCAGGAGGUACCUUAGGAACAGGGAGCUAGUUCUUCAUUUGCUUACAGAGACCUGAAUCAGGAACAACCUACUGUAGUCUCAAGCAAUUACUCUGCUCUGAACAGAUGCAGGAGGGCUCAGAAUCAGCUGUGUUCUAUCACUGCUGGUUCAUAGGAAAGUUAUUGAAAUGAUAAUGAGAAAGGAUUUUUUUCUUUUCAGCCUUGUGCCGAGCAGAAGGAUCUUCAAACGUUAUUCUGUCUUAUUCUGUACCACACACCUCCCUGCAAAGAGAGGUGACUCUGACCUGAAUUACAAACUUUAACCUCAAAAAAAAAGGGGGGAAGCUGAAGGUGGGAGAGGGAAAUAAGGAAAAAAAAAACCAAA